rnacentral:rRNA from 1 species
UACAUGGGGUGCAAACGUUGCUCGGAAUUAUUGGGCGUAAAGCGCGCGUAGGCGGUUACUCAAGUCGGAUGUGAAAGCUCUCGGCUUAACUGAGGAAGUGCACCCGAAACUGAGUAGCUAGAGUACUAAAGAGGGUCGCGGAAUUCCCGGUGUAGAGGUGAAAUUCGUAGAUAUCGGGAGGAACACCGGUGGCGAAGGCGGCGACCUGGGUAGAUACUGACGCUGAGGCGCGAAAGCGUGGGGAGCAAACAGG